rnacentral:lncRNA from 12 species
GCGCGGGGUGCGUGUCCCGGCGUGCUGCGCGCGCUUCCCGGCGUGCACUGCGCGGCCGCCAGCCUGAGGGGGCGGCCCGGGGACACCGGGAGAAGCGGAGUACCGGAGUACCGGCCACUUACCGGGCACACACCGCGGCUACGGGCACGGGCCGCGGACGCCGAGCACAGCAGCAGUGGCACCGGAAAGACCACACCGCGGAUACACCACGUCGCCCCCGGCCUCCCGCAGGCACCGGGCGCUGUCGUGCAUUCCGAGUGUCCCUUCCCAGGACAGCUCUGUUUUAGGGAGUGACCUUGCCCCGCACAUCUGGAUUCACUAGGGUUGAGAGAAACGUUCCCAUCUUUUGUGUCCGUCACCUCCGUGUCACGGGAGCUCUGGGGUCUCCGCUGUGCAUAUCCCACAGGUGCGGCGGGCGGAGCCCACCCGGCCCGGGGAGCUGCUGGGAUGGACUUUGCUACUGAAGUUAUGCAGAUGCUGCCCGGAGAUUUGCAGCUACAGGCUGAGGAAUCCUGCCCUGGAAUGAUUGUAAAUUACCAGGCAGAAAUCUUUGAUCGCUCACCAAUUAACUCCCUUCCUUUCAACAUGUAAAGCUCUGUACAAGGACUCUGGUAACUUCAGUAUGGAGAGAAACAUGUAAAUUCAGCAUACUGGGAAGCUGGUUACCUGCUACUUAUUCCUGAACAGAAAGUUUCUUCUGUGGUUCUCUUAGACUGUUCCUUUCAAUGUAGGCACAAAUCCAAUGUGUGAAUACUGGUACUUUCUACAUCUGCUCUUACAAAAACAAAUCUUCUAGUCAAACAUAAAUCUUUGAACUUCAUGGUUAUUUC